rnacentral:rRNA from 1 species
AGGACGAACGCUGGCGGCGUGCUUAACACAUGCAAGUCGAGCGGUAAGGCUCCUUCGGGAGUACACGAGCGGCGAACGGGUGAGUAACACGUGAGCAAUCUGCCCUUCACUUUUGGGAUAACUUCCGGAAACGGAAGCUAAUACCGAAUACGACCACUUCAGGCA